rnacentral:lncRNA from 1 species
GCUAAACUUCAUGUUGAUGACUUACACUUGAGGCGUUCUCCAGGUAAUCCUCUAGUUUCAAGUGAUUCUCUGGCCACCUGUUGUCUGUUUUACUUCUUUCUUCUGCACCAGGCUGUGAGUUCCAUGAAAGAAAGGGGUAACUUCUAUUUUAUUUAAUGUUUACCCUCAUCAUCCCACAUAGUGCAGGCA